GGGAAGUACGCGCCAGCGGGCGGGGUAAGACGGUGGGGGCAAGGGGUGGCCGGAUGUAUUGGUGGGAAAGAGCGUGUAGGCGGCCGUACAGGUCAGCGGUGAAAACUGGAGGCUCAACCUCGAGACGUCGGUUGAAACCGUACGGCUAGAGGCCGGAAGAGGAGAGUGGAAUUCCCGGUGUAGCGGUGAAAUGCGCAGAUAUCGGGAAGAACACCCGUGGCGAAGGCGGCUCUCUGGGACGGUACUGACGCUGAGACGCGAAAGCGUGGGGAGCGAACAGGAUUAGAUACGUUGGUAGUC
rnacentral:rRNA from 1 species